UUUAAUUAUUUGUUUAAGACAGUCAGCAUAGCACAGCACGGCACAACAGAGCUCCGUGUCUCUCAUCAGAGGCACCUAUGACUCUCGCCGGCGCUUUCAAGUCCUCCUCUCUCAUCUCCUGGAAAUCAACUGGGAAGCUUCAGCAAACCAUAGCGAAGUGCAUAGAGAGGACCGGAGAGGCUCUGCAUUCAGGAAAGGUCGCGACGGUGAAGAUCUCACCGGAGUUCGCUGGAGAAGGAAGGUAUUUCGAGUGUCGUUCGAAUUUGAUUCCCGCAUCGAUCGAUUUCGCUAAAGAGAGCCCUCUCUCUACUACGCUGCAUAAAGAUGGGCACAGUGUGCGAACUGUUGAGCACUUGCUCUCGGCUUUGGAGGCCACCGGUGUUGAUAAUUGCCGAAUCCAGAUCACAAGCUCCGACUCUGAAGAUCAUUCUCUCGAGGUUCCAAUUUUAGAUGGAUCUGCAAGGGAGUGGGUGGAAGCAAUUGAACAAGUUGGGUUAAGGGUGGCCAUAGAUCGGGGUGGAAAUAGUUGUGAGAAAAUGGCACCUUUUCUUAAUGAACCUGUUCAUGCAAGGAGGAAUGAUUCUUUUGUAGUUGCAUUCCCUUCUCCAGAAGUUCACAUCACUUGUGGAAUUAACUUCUCGCAGGUACCUGCUAUUGGCUGCCAGUGGUUUUCUUCCAACUUAAUUGGCAGCACUUUCUAUGCUAAACAAAUAGCUCCUUCAAGGACCUUUUGCAUUUAUGAAGAGGUGGAGCGAUUGCGCAAUGCAGGACUUAUUAAAGGUGGCUCAGAAGAAAAUGCCAUUGUUUGUAGUGCCAGUAAAGGUUGGUUGAAUCCACCACUGCGAUUCCAGGACGAACCUUGUCGACAUAAAGUUUUAGAUCUUAUUGGUGACCUUUCCCUGUUUGCACGAUGUGGUAGUCAAGGGCUUCCAAUGGCACAUAUAGUUUCUUACAAGGGUGGCCAUGCACUGCAUGCUGAUUUUGUUCGCCGCUUACCGAGAAUCAAUUAAAGGGAGGAAGCUCUGCAACCUGUGCUUAUUACUGAGAAUCAAUUAGAGGGAGGAAGCUCUGCAACCUGUGCUUAUCAGGAUAUAUAUAUAUGCCCUAUUCUUCAAAUUUAUUAUGUGCGCAUGCUGUGUAUAUUCAGUAAAUUGUUUUAGCUCACCAUGGCAAUAUAAACAGAGUUCAUUGCUUGCGAUUUUCUGCAAUUGCUGGAGAAGAAAUGAGGGAUGGUUUCUUUUCCAUGAAAAAUGAAAACUGCAGGUUCACUGCAUAUUGAUUAGCAAUGUAGCAAAUGCUGUCUACACAA